UACGUAGGGUCCGAGCGUUGUCCGGAAUUAUUGGGCGUAAAGAGCUCGUAGGCGGUUUGUCGCGUCUGCUGUGAAAUCCCGAGGCUCAACCUCGGGCCUGCAGUGGGUACGGGCAGACUGGAGUGCGGUAGGGGAGAAUGGAAUUCCUGGUGUAGCGGUGGAAUGCGCAGAUAUCAGGAGGAACACCAAUGGCGAAGGCAGCUCGCUGGGACGGUACUGACACUGAGACGCGAAAGCGUGGGGAGCAAACAGG
rnacentral:rRNA from 1 species